AAAAAAAUUCGACGAAAAAUUCCAAUAUUACUAUCGUAAUCCUGGACUAUACUUUUAUUAUCUGUAACAUUCAAAUAUAUGAUACGAAAAUUUACAGUUUUUAAAAGAUUUUUUACUAUUCACUAUCGUAAUUUCAUUAAGAGUUUAUUGUAAUCAAUUCAAUAAGAAAUAUUACAAUGUUACUAUCGUAAAUAGUAAAAGAAUAAAAAAUAAGAUUUAAUUAUACUAUUUAUUCUUUUAUUCUUCCUUUUAAUUUACAGUGCUGCCUCUAUGUUUUUACAAUACAAGCUACAAAAAUUACGAUAGUUGGAUUGUAAAUUUUCUGAAAUGGUAUAGUAUAUGCCAUCUGAAGCGUUUACGUAUGAAAGACAAGUGUUGUCACAAACCAUGAUGUGAUGCUUGUAUGAGUGUAUAUAUAUAUAUAUAAAUACAAAUGAUGACAUCUACUUUGUCUGUAUUAUUUGUGGUUCAACUAUAUAUAUUUAUAAAUCAGUUCAUCUUUAUCCACAGUGUAGUGCAGAAAUAGAGGUUAUUAUUCAUGACGUUUUUCGGACAAUUGUAAAUAAGAAAUUUAAAAUAAAAACUGUACUUUCGUCAUUACAAACCUACAUAGAUUGUGGAAUAUAAUAAUUUGGUGGUGAUAAUCUUCAUUUGUCGACAAUGAAUAAUUUUACCCGGCUUUGCGAGAGGUAAAACAUUUCAAUAACCUCAAAUUAUGGACAUUCAACAUUUCUUUAUGAUACUGAAGUUAGCAGACGCCUAAUAAUUUUUGGAUUUUUUUCAAAAAUGAUAAAUUAUAGAAAAAAAGUAUUCGAAAAAAUUGCACCUAUGGUUUUUUUAAUUUUCUACAUGUGCGUAUUUUGAAUACAAAUAAAUGAGUUAUUUAUUCAUAAAUUUUAUAUAUACCAAAAAAAUAUGUUUGAAAAAAUAUUAAAUAAAUGUUUUAUUAUUACUACUUCAA